rnacentral:lncRNA from 1 species
GGUGGUGGAGGAGGUGCAGCAUUCCCUGGGUUAGGGUUUGCCAGAUUUGGAUAGAAGGGUGAGGGUGGAAACAUGGGGUACUGUGGAUAAGGUGGGUAAAAAGGAGGAUAAGGCAUGUAGGAGGGAUAUGGGUUAAAGCUGGAGUAAUCCGAUAUACCCCCCAUCGGAUACCUUGGGCCCUGUGGAAAGGGUUGGUACUGGGGUGGGUGAGCAAACCCCGAGGCCUGAGCGCCUCCUUGAGACUCUCCCAUACCCUCUUCAGAUAUACUCAUGCCCAGACUACAAUCUCUUCUCUGUUCAUCCUCCUCUGAUUCCCUCACAUCAACUGACAUUCUACCCGGAUCUGUUCUCCUCCUGUUUACAUCAAAAGACCUUCUAGGGUCCCUUGAUGUCCCUUCUCUACUGGACCUACUAGACAUUGCCCUUGGCAAAGCAGGGGGAAGGGCAUCCACGCCCUCAUUCUCAGGUGGGACUCUAGUCAAUCAUGUAGAUCGACGAGUGCCUCGCAUUCUGUUUUCUGAAAAACAACAUGUACACAUAACAUUAGCAUCAUAUGGUUCAUAUGGAAACACAUGAUCCCACAUCACAUACAUCACAUAUCAUUAAUGCGCAUGCAUAUAGUCAUGGCAUUUCACAUCAUCAUCAAGACAGGACUCUAUAUCCUAUCCUAGUGGACAUGAUUUUUCCUAUUGUGCUUGCCUUUCUAUGACAUCUAUGAGCCCGACACUCUCUAGGUCCGACCAUAUGAACCUAGGGCUCUGAUACCACUCUGUAACGACCCGAAAACCGAACCGCUACAGGUGCUAGGAUUCAGAUUGACUUAAGGUCGCCGGAACCCGUAGCAAGCCUAACUUACAUCCUGUACAUCUGAUAAAAUCCCAUACAUGAUCAUAUAUUUUCAUAAAAACUUUAAACUUUUCAUAUACCAAGCUUGACCUGCACAUGCAUCAUAACUAUAAACAUAAAAACCCCAUACUGGAGCCCUCAUCAAAUGCUCCAGUUGGAUCAACAUCUCAUACAUCAAGCUUGGUUCAACAUAACUUAUCAUUAAAACAUUUACAUAAAGAUCAUGUACGAAAGGGAUUGACCAUACGUUAGGGCCAAGCACAAUACUAAUCCUCAUUACAUUACAUGUCCACUACUAAUCUAUUACAAAGACUAUACCAUAACCUUGCUGACUUUCCCAUAGCUACUUGUGCUCCUGCAAACCUGAGGGUUAGGGGAGAGGGGUGAGCUACAAAAGCCCAGUGAGCAGAACAGUGAAAACAAUUUAAUAAACAUAUGCUUUCAUGGAAUGCAUCACAUCACAAACAAUUCACAUCAUGGAUGGACUGACCCAAAAAUCCCUCUACUCUAUGCCUGGCCCUCGGUGGAGCUCCUCAGGACUUCUAUUACAUAACAUAAGCUCUAUGCUAGGGGCGUAGUGCAGGCCACACCUGGUCUUUCCUGUACUCUGUGCCAGGGGCGUAAAAUGGCAGUCCUGGUCUUUCAUUACAUAACAUAAUAUCUAGAGGGCUAAUGGGUCGUCCUGUUGUCCAUCCACAUCAACAACCAAUGCAAUGCGACAUAUUCGUGAGGUCUAAUGCAACCAACCUAUUACAUAUACAUAAUGCAUGAACAUGCUUAAAACAUUUGAUUUCUCGAAAUAAAAGAUUAGUUUAGUUCUACUCACCUCUGGCUGACUCUGAACUAACUCUGAAGCAGCUAUCUCACUGCUGAUCACCUCGAUUCCUCAGGUCCGAUCCUACACAGGUGGACUCAAAUGAUGGACCAAACAUACUCUAACAUGACUCUAAACAUCUCCCCAAAAACCCCCUAAAACAUCAUAAGACAUGCAUGCAAAACAGGCAAAAGAAGGCUGGGCAAGGGACUUUCGGCGGCAGGUUCGAUGGCCGAAGGUCCCUCCAGAUUCGAAAGUCAGGCACUUUCAGGGGUAGGUUCGGCGGCCGAAACUCUCUCCAGAUACAAAAGUCACUAACCUUCGGGGGCAGGUUCGGCGGCCGAAACUCCCCUCCAGAGCCGAAAGUCCAACUUUCGGGGGCGAGUUUAGGCGGCCUAAAGCUGCCUCCACAGGCAAGUUCGGCGGCCGAACAUGGCUUCGGCAGCCGAACCUAGGUUCUCCAGAAGGCAGAACCCGAUCUGCCUCUCUCAUCUAGCCUCCCAAAAACCUCACAACAUGCAUUCAACUAUUAUAAAACAUGCAUAAACACUUAUUCAAGCAUAUAGGGGCAUAAAACUAGCCUAAACCCCAACAAACAACAUCAUAGCAUCACAUUUAACAUUAAACUAACAUAAACCCUAACAUUUUACAUCUACUCUAUACAUGCAUCAAAACCCUUAACCCCUUCUUAAAAUUUACUUAAAACAUCGAAAAAGGCGUGGAUCUACACUUACCUCUUGAAGAUCGAAGGUAGACGUGACCUAAACUUGGAGAUUGGGAGAAAUCGAGCUCCGGGGGUCUCUAAGCUUCAAAACUUUGAUCUGAGCUUAAAAUCUUCAAAACAAAGGUAAAAACUCAUCAAAAACUUGAAGGGAUUGAAGGAAAACACAAAAUCAACCACGGAAGGGCGAAAUCUCACCUAUGCCCGAAAAUAGAGAGAGAAAACUUGCCCAUUUUCGGACAUGGAGCCUUUUAUAGGUGGCUGGCCAGACCACCUUCGGGGGCCAAAGGUGCUUUCGCAAGAGCCCAAUGUUCAGCGGCCGAACCUAGCUUUUCCUUCCUUGGUCUUUUCUUUCAAAACUCAAUUUCUUUCUUCAUUAAAACCAUAAGAACAUAUAAAAAUAUUUUAGAAAACCUUUAUUUUAUCCUUCUAGAAGGUUCCAACAUCAGAAAAAUUCUGGAUUCCAACGGAGAUUACGCCGGAAGGUAGGAAUUCCGAUGCUGGGGUCUAGCCGGGUAUUACAGACACCUCAAAUCAUUAAGAGGGUUCUCAUCAAAUCUAUUUCAGCUUUCUAAGUCCCAAAUUGAAUGGAUACCUUAAGAACCCACCACAACACUCCAUGUAUUGAGUUUGACAAUCUCGUUUUCUCUUAUUUUGUCUUAUUGCACCCUUAAUAUUGGUCUCGACGUGAUUGUACUAACUGCACAUUGGUCAACAACCCUAGUACCUGCAAUUGCCUCCAUUACUUUCACCUUGAUACUCAUAUCUAUAUAUCUCGAUCUUCUCGCAAGUUCGUUUUGACUCUUUUUUUUUCCUUUUGAGUUAUUAGAGGAAAUUGAAAAUCUCUUUCUCCCGAUCAUUUCCCUAUUUGACAAGAUAUUUCGAAAGAUACCAUCACUACACUGGUUCCUAGAAGUUCACACUUUUCUUGCUUUUUCUUGCCUCCCCUUUUGUAACAGCAUUAUAGCUAUUGUAUCACUCAUUGGAAUUAUUUGUAAUUACAACAUCCGUGAAAGCCUCUACUGCUUCACCCUUUUUAAUAUUAGUAGCUCGAUGUAGUCUUACACGCAAAUAACACUAUGGAAAAGCAAGAAUGCAUAAGCCAUCCACAUUGGAUUACUCUUUUAUUCUUAUUACAUGUUCUCCCCCUAUUUGGUUUUCCUCUAUUUCUCCACAAGGUCCUUUUAUCCUCUUGAAGCACUUCUACAUAGGCAAUUUGUAGCCUAAUGUAGCUUUCUCCAUGGAGAGCAUUUCAUAAUGCUUAACGGUUCUACCUUCAUAAUGUUCUAUUUACCAAAUUUUCCUUUGUUGCCUUCGCUCUAGCUUGUUUUGGUUAACACAUAUUACGCCUUAUAUCAUGUUUGACACUUUCGAUGGUUCCCCUACAUAUCGCUUUGACCCCACUAUCUGGGUUGCUAAUAAUGAGAUACUGAGAGUUGAACUUCUUUUCAACUCAGUGUUAGCCUAACUGACUAACUCUUGGCUAUAACUGGCACUGUACAACCCUUAUUCACAUCUCUUUAACAUUCAUUCUUCGUCUCAGGUUUCAUCUCUAAAAAUUAUCCAGCCUAACAAGCUGCAAUAUAUCUUUAUGUUACAAAUGAGAGGUGAAAAUUUCACUUGCAUACUUUCCUUACGAACUCAAUACAGGAGUUUACCAACUCCUUUGUGAAUUGAAUGCCACAUUUUUAGAGUAAAAUUGAAUAUGCAUGUCCUCUUCACUAUCUCAUAGGUGUGAGUUAUACAUCCCUUUCCAUAGAAUCUCCCUUUCAGCUUCCCAUGUCGAUAAUUGACUCGCGGUUGUCGAAGCCGGUCAAAAAUAACCUUUCUGGUUACCAACAAAUUUACACUUGUAGAUAGUGGUGAAAGGAUCGAAUUCACAGAGAAUUGAGAACUUACCUAUUUCUCUUUUUGGGACCAAGAAAAUAAACUGAAACAAUAAUAAACUAAAAAUGAGAUAAAAACUGAAAGCGGGAUAAAACGAGAUAAACUGAAAUUGGGAUCAAAACUGUCAACAAAAUAACAGGGGGGUUUGAGAUUUAUUGUAAUAAACUAAUAAUGAGAAAAAUAAUGGAAAACAAAUAAUUAAAUAAAGAGUAAUCAAUAAUGAGAAAGCUCUAGUUGAAGUAUUGGAUCCACUUUAGUUGUUGGGAUUGAUCACAGACACUUUGUUCUUUUGGGUUGAUUCAAUAGAUUAGUUAUGGAGAUGGAAGACGCUUCUCACCACCAUUAUCUCUCCUUAUUAUUAAAUUGAUUAGGGAACGUCCUCUAAUCAAUUACUAAUUAACAAAUUGCCAAGGAACGUCCUUGGGCCAUAGGCAUCAAAACAAUUGUCAAUUGCAUAAAGAAAUAGAGAGAUCCAAUCCUAGCUACCCAAACGUAUGGAGAUAACGCUAGAUCAUGCAACUUCCUUGGUUCUUAUGCCAAGUGUUCUUAUGUAAGAAUAACCUAAGCAAUUACGGACUUAAAUCAUUCAAACUAACAAAUAAUUAUUUUGCAAUUAAAAAUCAACGUAGAUCUCAAUAACAAAAUAAUAUGAAAAUUAAGUAUGAAAUUGCAUGAAUAUUAAACACUCAAAAGUUAAACAAUAUUUGAUCAAGUCUCACAACCCAUUAAACAACUAAAACUUCAACCAAUAUUCAACUAGAUUAAAGAAAUCAGCCACUCAUUGGCUGAAUUAAAAACAGAAAAAUAAUAAAAAAAAGGAAAAGAAAAGAAAGAAGAACCGAAUUCUUCCUUGCGCCGGGCGGUGGAAUUGCCAAGUUGAAUUCUCUCUUUUGGCCGCUUAAAGCUCUUUAAAUAGAGCUGGAGAGACGCCCUAAUUUGGAAAUUGUUGUCCACGGGUGGAGCUUUGAAGGGGGCCCAUGUGUCCAAGUGCGCUGCGUGAGUGGCGGGUCCAUUGCGCUGGUUCAUGGUGCGGAUAUGGGCUCAAGUGCGGGAGAAUUGGUCUACAUGCGCGUGAAUGUGCUUUGGCGGGUCCAUGGUCCACGUGAAGAGAGUGGUGAAGCGGGAGUGAGCUUGUCCAUGUGCGUCCACGGUGAAGUGAUGAAGCGCGGGCCCAUGCUGGAUGAAUUGAAGUGUUGCUUUGGUCCCGUGCAAGAAUGGACUGGUCUGUUAAUGGUCCCAUGUGCUGAGUGAUGAAGACUUUGGCGGGCCCAUAUGCUUGGCUUGGUCCACGUGAGGGAGAGCUUGGUCCAAUGCGUUGGCGGAAAUGGGCUGCGGGAUUGGCGUGAAGCGCUUGGUCCAUGUGCUUGGAUAUUUAAGCUUCAAAAUAUUUUCCUCUCAUUUAUCUUGACUUGAAUCCAUCUUGGCAGGCUUGCUCUCUUUUGCUCCAAAUAAGGCAGUUUUAGGGGGAUUUUCUCCAAAUUGUCCUUUUACACCAUUUUCUGCAAAAUAAUAUUAAAAGCAAUAAAUUAAGCAGAAAUCAUGUAAAUUUUCAUCAAUAAUAUUAAUAUAAAAUAGACUAAUUUAUGCUCUAUCAAUAAUCCUGGUUGAUCCAAUACAUGAAUAUAACUUCCAACCUGUCUACACAAUAAUAAUUUUUAAUAGCACCAAGAAAUAAAUUUAUAAUGGAGAUGAAAUCAUUUACCUCCAACACAUCACCUGCACCGUGUCAAGAUUUAUUUUUCUAGGCUUUCAACAUUGCCUACCUCAUAGGCAUCCACCUUAGGAUUGGCUAGCAACUUUCACCAUUAGUUUUAGCCUAGUCUGCUUCAUUAGCCCUCUCGUAGGAACUAACCUGCAACUCUCAUCAUUGCUAUUUGACUAUCUGAUUCAUCUCCAGAGUAAUCCCUAUACAACAUUCAAUGUUACUGUACAAUUCUAGCAGAAUACACAGGAGGCCACUGUCUCAAUUUUAUUCAAGGAGGUCAUUGCCUUAAAUUCAUCUCAAAAGGCCAUUGCCUCACUUUUUAUUCAAGAAGGCCACUGCUUCAAUUUACCUUAGGAGGCCACUGCCUCACUUUUAUUCAAGGAGGCCACUACCUCAUUUUCAUUCACUUUUGUCUUAAAAUCACCCCACCGGGUGUCAUUCCUAGAAGAGAGAUUUUGGGUUGCCCCGUCACUUCUGGACAACUUGGUUAUCACAACCAAUAAUUGUUCAUUUUUCUCUUCUAACAGCACCAUGCACUGGUAAAAAGUAUCAAUCUCUAGUGCCAUCCCCUCUUAGGUGGCAUAUGUAUUAAACAAUGCGGCAAGAUCAUCAACCCUCCUCUCAAGGGCAUCAAUGCGUAUGACUAACUUCGUCAUGCUUCCACACUGCUCGUAGAUCGUUCGAGCUAUGAUACCAAAUGUCAUGGGCCCGCAUUUUGAUAAUCAUUUGGGACUGUGCGACACUUGAUUUAAAUGCCUUCAAACCAAGUCAGCCUUAACAAUCACCCGAUACUCUAUAAAUAUAAACAGCCUGAUUAGUCAAGAUUAUAUAAGCGAAUAACGAAGUCAAUAGGCAAUAUUCAAUCAGAAGCCUCACAAUAGACAUCAGAGAUAAGAACUGAAUAUGAGAAUUCAUAAACAUGCUACUUAUUUUAUUCUAGGGGCAAAAUGGUAAUUAUAUAUCAUCAUCAACACAAUGUUUACAAUAAUUCUCACCUCCCUUGUAGACAGGGGGCACGGUCUACAAUGAGUGAAGGCACAACUCAUGAACUCCAUAGGCCUACAGUAGCCAACUGGGUCCAGCCCUUACUGGGGGCCAACUAGUCAUUCCCCCCUAAAGAGCCUUAGAAACAAAGUGGCUUGUGGGAGGAGGAAACAUCAAUAUGUCUCAAAUGAUACCCCCUAAAUAAAUAAUCUAAAGGGAACUACAGAUAUCUGACACGACCCUUAGCUUACUUUUAGUUUAUACUACUUCAUCCCUAUAUUAUUUUUCAAAAACUCUACUGUUGGAAAAUUACAGUUUUGAUCCUAAAAUUUUGGUCCCUGGGAUUCUAAGACCCUAAAACUCGGGGUGUCUAUAGAGGCUUGUCCCUUCUUCCUAGGUCCAUCUUAGAUGCUUCUUCCCGAGCCUUAUACUGUCUGCGAGUGGCCUGCAACCUCUGAUAUACUGGAGUACUUACUCGUUGUUUACAUUAUUAAGGUCUGCUUCAUUAAUCACUAGGGGUGUGGUCUCCUGAUAAUUUGGGAUGGAGGAAAUGAUAACUACUUUUUUGGUAUAAUAUUGUCAGCAGCGGUAGGACUUUCGGCCAUCUUGAGUGAAGUAAGAUGAUAAGAAACCGGUCAUGAUCCAAAAAAGGGGUUUAAUGGAUUACUCGGCAACAGAAUCAAAUGAUGUGGCUGAAAAUAGAUUGGUGAUAAUGGCCAGAAUAACAUUAUGACGUGAUUGACUAUAACCUGCAAGAAAAUAAAUGUGAGGUGGUGGUGGGUGCUCACGCCAGCCACUUCGACGCUCAAGUCAGUAUCGUGAAGAAUAGGAAGAAAGCAAUGAAUUUCUGAGAGCUUGAGUGAUAUUAGAAACAAUAUACCUUUGCCUCUGGAGUCGUUCUCCUUUUACAUCGUAAGAAAAUGGAGAUAAAUAUAGUAUUUUCUAAAAAUGUAGCGAUAAUGUGGUCGGCUACUCGAUAAUGGACAUCGCCAGCUAAUAAGUUGAUAAUCUCGCGAUCUCUGGCAAAAUGAGAAUGUGUCUGAUAAUGGUAACUCUGUUUCAAGACUUAGUUUAUCGGGGGAGAGCGAUUCUUGAUGAUAGUCUGAAUGUUAAAGCAUCUGGAUCUCCCUUUCCUACAGUGAAACUAUGCUUUCCACAUGUCUGAUAAUUGCACGUGGCGCCUUGAUUGUGGUGAUAGGUCAUGAUUUAUUUUAGAUGAAUGUUAAGUAACAUCAAUAAUUUAAAAUUUUUGUUUUACUUUUCCUUUUAUUUGAAAAAAAAAAGAGUUAUAAAUUUAUUUUUUAAUAAUUUUUUUCUUUGUUUUUCUCCCAUUCGAAUGAAAAAUAAUAGAAUACAAUUUCUUUUCAUCAAAAUUUUCUCCACUACUUUUUCCUGUGUUAACCUACUAUUACUAAUUAGAAAUGAAGAAGGGGCGGUGGCUCCUACGAAAACAUUCAUUCUUGUUGCCGUUAUUGCUUAUAGCCAUAAAUUUAUGAGCUAGCGUUUUAAUGGCAUGAAAUUAAUUUCUUCUAAAUGAUUUUAUGUUCUAAUAAAAUUAUUAAUAAAAAUUUGCUUUAUAUUAUUUAUCUAAGAUAAUAAUAUUUGAAUAACGCUCAAUAAUAAUUAUAUUAAAAGAAAUUUUGAAAUGUCUUAUUAAAAAGAAUUUUGAAAAGUUUUAAGUUCAAUCUCCUACAUUUUAAUAUUUUAUAUUUAAAAUUUAGUUUAAUUUAUUUUUUUAAUAUAAAUUAUAAAAAGUUAUAGUAUUAAAUUUGAAACCUUCUCAAUUCAAUUAAGUUAACUUACCGUAAAGACUUACCGUAUUCUGAUCGUCAUUUAUGAUUUUUGUAUGAUAAAAAUAUUUUUCACAUACAAUCCAAUCAAUUUUCAGAAUAUGUAGACUUUUUAGCAGAUUUAUGACGACAAUUCUCGGACAGUUAUUGUAUUGAAUGAUUUGGUUCCUAGUUACAAGCCGAACAUUUUAUUUUUUACGAAAACAAAAACUCUUAGUUCUCGUAUAUGAAAUUUUUUUGUAAUUUUUUACAUUUUGAUGAUUGCUUCUCAAUCAAUAGCUAAGGAUUGGGAGGAGGUAUUUCAUUAAUGUGGAAGAGUCAUGAGUCUGUUUCUGUGGUUGGCUUUUCUUCAAAUUUUAUUGAUUCGGUUGUUUUGGAAAGUAAUAUUCAAUAGAAGUUUACUAGUUAUUAUGGGUUUCCAGAAUCGCAACAACGACGCCAGUCUUGGAACCUUAUUCGAACUUUAUCUCGUAGAAGCUCUCUUCCAUGAUUAUGUUCGAGAGAUUUUAAUGAUUUAUACUCAAGAGAUGAGAAAGAAUGAGGAGUAUCUUUACCAAAUUAUCUUAUGCAGGAGUUUAGACAGGCACUUGAGUAGCAUUUUUGCCAAAUUAUCUUAUGUAGAGAUUUGAUUUUGAAUGAUUAUAAAUUUUUGUUAGAUUCUAGAACUGAUAUUUCUGUUAGAUGAAUUGAUCGUAAUACUACUCUAAUUGCUCAUACUUUGACUAGAGAAUCUAUGAGACAUAAUCGUCUUUCUGUUUGGAAUAAUAUUCCUCUUUAUUUGAUGGAAUUUUAUUAAUACAAUAAAUAGUUUUGUUUAAAAAAAAAAAACAAAAAUAUUCUUUCAAAUGUUAGAGGAAAAAAAAAGAAAAACAUAAAUAAUAGUUUCAGCGAAUUAUUUUAUAAUGAUUUCUUAAAAUAAGUUCUUUAUGACUGAAAUAAAGUUAAAAGAAUUAAAACGAGAAAUCAAAUAAAAAAAAGAGAAGAAUAUAUAAUUAUUACAUGAAUAUAAUUAUACAAAAGAUUGAGCUUUUACUAUGAAAGUAUUUUAGGAUUGCAUACAAAGAAUAUUAAAUGAUGAAUAUAUACAAUGAAUAUAUAAACGUGCAAUGCACAUAAAAACAAUUAGUUAUUUAAAAUGCUUAAGAUAAGAAAAAUAUUUGUAUAUUAUUUUUCAACAAAAUUUUAGAUAUUUAAAUAUAUACUAAAUUUUAUCCGACUUUCUAUAUUUGAUAUAAUAUUAUUAUAAUAUAUUUAUUUUAUAAAAAAAUUAAAUUAAUAAGACACAUUACUUUGAUUUAAUAUAAUAUAAAAAAGUAAGAAAAUAGUAGGAUUAAUUGCUAAAAAAAACUCCAAAGUUUAUGUACUAAUGUACUACUGUUAGCAACGUCGUUAGUUUUAGGUAAAUUUAUUAAAAUAUAAAAAUAUAGGAUAUAAUUAUAAAAUAUAAAACUUUAGUUUUUCAUUAAUAAAAAUUAAAAUAAAAUAUAGAAAAAGUAUUUGAUAUGUUAAUAACAGAAAAAAUAUAAUAAUAAUAAUAAUAAUAAUAAUAAUAAUAAAAUUUUCUAUUUUAAAUAUAUUUUUUAAGACUAUUAGAUAUAAUAAUUCAAAUAUUUAUAAUAAAUUACAUUUAUAUUAUAAAUUUUAUUUUUUGUCAAUAAAUCCAAAAAUACUAAUAUACUAAAUUGAAUUUAAUAAAUUAACAGAUAAAUUAUAAUACAAUUCUUAAAGUUUUAUUUGAUUAAUUAAAUAAUUUUUUAAAAUAAGUAUUUUUAUGUAUAUUAAUUUCAAUAAUAUUAUAUUUUAUUAAUUAUAUUAUUUCUUCUUUCUUAAUAAUUAAAGAAUUAUGAAAAUUAGGUAUAAAGUAAAUAAACAGUCUUUUAAAAUAAAUAUUUUUUACUUUUAUUCGAAUAAUAAUAAUAAUAAUAAUAAUAAUAAUAAUAAUAAUAAUAAUUAAUGUAAUGAAAAAUAGAGCUGUGCGAUGAUUAAUUAAAUUUGCAAUAAGAAAAACAUGAUCCGACGCUAAAGUUAAUAAAUUGGAGAGUAGAGUAAGACUAUUGUAAUGCUGAAAACUCAAGAGUAUCUGUUUAAGAAUUGUGUACUCUCAUUUUUAUGAUCAUUGGCUUUUAUAUUGUAAGAGAGAACAAAGUUACCUAUAGUAUUUUCUAUAAAUCCGGCAAUUAUGUGACCAGUUCGUUGAUAAAUAAUCUCGCCGGCUAAUUGGUCGGGGAUCCCGUGAUUACAGGCGUAAAGGGGGUUUGCUUGAUUGUAGCUACUAAUGGUAACUUCUUGUGAAGACCCGACCUCUCCAGGGGAGGACGAGUCUUGAUGAAAUGCCAGAUGUCACGAUGUCCGAGUUUUUUUUUCCCUUGGUAGGUCCGAGUAUCAUCUGAUUAGACCUUUGCCAUGUGAUUUGGUUUUCGAGUGUUAGCAUAUAACCUUCUUUUGGUGAUUAUUGUGUAUCAUCAGAGGUCCCCCGCUAGUUUUUUAUUCUUUAGAUUUUAAAGUGACAAUUGUCUUCGCGAUCUGGGGCACGUGACUCAUUUAGAUUGGUUUUUCCCUAUUUGCAUCAAUUUGCUAGCCCUGGCGAGUUUUCAAGCAUUAUCUAGCAUUGGCGCGUUUCUGGGCAUUUUUUAGCUCGCCAGGAUAUUCUUUAGUCCUUGCGAGCUUCUGGGUAUUUUUCAGUCCUAUCGGACAUCCGUACAUUUUUUAAUAUUGGCGAGCUUCUGGGCAUUCUCCAUCCCCUGCGAGCUUCUAGGCAUUUUUAGUCCUAACGGGCUUCUGGACUUCUGGAUAUUAACCAGCUCUGGCGAGCUUCCGAGCAUUUUCUAGUCCUUGCGAGCUCCUUGGCAUUUUUCAGCCCUAUCGGGCUUUUGUGUAUUUUCCAGUCCUGGUAAGCUUUCGGGCAUUUUCUAAACCUUGCGAAGACAUGACCUCUCCAGGAGAGGACAAGUCUUGAUAAAGGAUCAGAUGUCACGGUGUUUGGGUCUUCUUUUCUUUUGAUGAAUUCAAGUAUCAUCUAAUCAGACUCUUGUUACGUGAUAUUAUUUUCGAGUGCCGGUACAUGACAUUUUUCAAGUGAUUAUUGUAUAACAUUAAUAAUAAUAAUAAUAAUAAUAAUAAUAAUAAUAAUAAUAAUAAUAAUAAUAAUAAUAAUAAUAAUAAUAAUAAUAAUAAUAAUAAGUUUUUUUAUAAAAAUAUUAAAUAUAAAUAAAGUAUAAAAAUUAUAAUAAAAUUAUAAUUUAAAAAAAUAAAAAAUAAAAACUACACUUUUAUAAUUAUAUUAUGUAUUUUUGUAUUUUAAUAAAUUUAUUUUACUAUCGAUAUUAACCGUAUUAGUAACAAUAAGAUGAAAAUAAAUUAUAUAUCAUAAUACAGGAUAUAUUAAUUAAAAAAAAAGUUUAAAGAUACAUUUGUUAAAAAUAAAAAAAACUUCAACGCUUUUUUUCCAUUAACCCAAAAUCUAUAAAUUGAUUAUCAUUAUAAAUUUGAGUACGGUUAAAUUAAUAUUAAAUUAAAUAAUAUACGUUUAUUUUACAUUAUCUUAUUAUAAAAUUUUAAAUUUCUAAUGCAUUAAACAAUACUAAAAUUUGCUAGUAUUAUUUAUAGAUUGUAAAAAUAAAAAUAACUUUCAUUCUAUGUAAUGUUACCUUGUCUAACUUUAUAAUUGAUGUAGUCGAAAUAGAAUUGUAUUGUGAUUGAUUAAUCCUGCAAGAAAGAGAUUAAUCCUGCAAGAAAGAGAAUGUGAGGUGGUUGACACAUAUGACAUCCACUCGGACGCCUAAGUCAGUAAACUGAAAAAUAGAGCGAAUGCAAUAUAAUGCUUUAGAACUCAAGAGUAGUUGUGUAAAAAUUACGUAUCUUUAUCUCUAUGGUCAUUAGCUUUUAUAUUGUAAGAGGAUAGAGUUAAUUAUAAUAUUUUUUGAAAAUUUGCCUUGUACCAAUUAAUUGAUAAGGGAUCCCACUGGCUAAUUGAUCGGUGUUCUCAUGAUUACAGGUGUAACGGAAAUCUUGCUGGAUUGUGCCUGUUAACGGUAACUCUUAUGUGAAGACUCAACCUCUUUAGGGGAGGGCGAGUCUUGAUGAAGAAUCCAGAUGCUAUAGUAUCUGGGUCUUACUUUCUUCGAGUGCGACCGCAUAUCAGCUUAUCAGGCUCUUACCGCGUAGACCUGUCUUUUGGUGACAGCUCAUAGCUUAUUUUGUGUGAUUAUUGUGUUAUAUCAUAAAUUUCCUCGCUGGUUUUCGAUUCUUUGAAUUCGAAGGUGACAGUUGUUUUCACAAUUUGGACCAUGUGACUGAUUUUAGAUUGGUCUUUCAUGGUCACGUCGCUUUGUCUGCUCCUGCCCAUACAUAGAUGAGGAAUCUUUCCUUGUAUACUUUUCGUCAUUAUUUUCAUUGAGUGCUUAUAUGCUCUGUACUCGACCAUAACUCUCAUCCAACCAUAGUUAAAUAAUAAUUUCUAAAAAAUUGCUAAGGGGUUAAUGCCCGAUUAAAAAAGAACUUGGUAAUCAUUGCCUUUGCUAGAAAGUGGCUAAAAUAGGCUUAUUAAUCGGACUUAUCACCCGGUCACUAGCCUAACCAGUGGCCUGUACAUGAAAUGUCUUAGAAACUUUUUGUGAAACAGGACUAACACUCGGUUAUGUAGCCUGCUAACACUCGUCUUAUGGUCUAGGUAUAAUCUGCCUUAGGUAGUGGGACUAACACCCGGAUUAUGAGCCUGGCGGAACCCGCAUUAUGACCUGACUUGUAAACCCAUUGUUUGUCGGCACUAUUGCUUCUCGUCCUAACUGCUUUGAUGAGCCAUAGCCUUGUGACCACUGCUUCUUGUCCUGUCUAUCAAUUUUAGUAAGAAACCCUGAAACAUAUGUUCUUUUUAUGCUCUUACACUAAGGUCAUUUUGGUUUGCUAGUCCUAGAUAUAGAACUUCUAUAGCUGGUACUUGCGGUAGUGGGUUAAUUUGUUAGAUAGUGAUGAUCGCCGGGCUUCUUACACCUAGGGGUGAGGCCGGACCCUAAAGAAGAACACAAGCUCAAAGCCCAUCAGGCCAUCCUCAAGUAGACCGACCCACUACUGCAAGUCCUAGCCCGGACACAUGGGGCAGGCCGGAUGGCUCAUGGGCGCGGGCCCAAUAGGAGAUAACCCAACCCGGGGAUAUGACGUGAGGGAGAAUAGCUCGCCCAGUCAUUUCGCAGCCUUAACAACAUGCGCACUGGGGGGAAUUAAAUGGCUGCCUAGCAUGGAGAGGUGCUCUGACGCGUCCGUAUGUACGAGUCUGAGUGACAGAGAUAGGUGGCACUGUAGCAAAGAGGCAGUUAGACGUCAUUAGUAGACAAAAGGAAAAGGGAUAAAAGGGAAGGAAUGUGAUCUUCCCCGGCCAAGCUUACAUACUGAUAGCGGUUGUCAAAGCCGUCAAAAAUAAACCUAUUAAUCAAUCAACAAAUAACUUGUAGAUAGUGGCAAUAGGGUCGAACCACAGGAAUAUAACACGAAGAAUUCUCCUAACUAUGACUUGGGCGAAUAAAUAAUAAAAGUAAAAAUAAGGGGGUCUUUUUUUAUGAUAGUGAGCUGAAAUUAAAACUAAGUAGUAAAAGAAAUCAAUAAUUAAAAAGAUGAGUAAAUCAAUGGUAAAAGAAAUCUAGUUGAAGUAUGGAUCUAUUUCAGUUUUUAGAUUUGAUCAUUGAUUCUUUGAUACUCCUAUUUAUUUCAAUAAAUUAGUUUAGGUUGUGGAAGACGCUUCUCACAACCGAAUUCCUCAGUUUUAGUUUGAUUAGGAAAUGUUUGCUAAUCAAACACUAGUUAAUAAGUUGCCAAGGAACGUCCUUGGGGUUUUUUACUUUUCAACUGUUAACUGUAUUAAGACUUAGAGAAACCCAAUUCUAACCUUGCCAACCGCAUGGUCAAGUUUAGAUCAUGCAACCAAUUACACUUGUGUUCAAAUAAUCUAAGCAAUUACGGACCCAAAUUAUUUAAACUAACAAUAUAUUACUCAUGCAAUUAAAAGCAAUAGGCCUUAAUUGAUUCUAAAAGCAAGGCAAUAAUAACAUAAAGAUCAAGUUGUAUAAAUAUUAAAAAAUAGAAGUUUAACAAUGGAGUUUUAAAUCUCCCAAUUCAUCACAAAUUGAAAUUUCUCCAACUUCAACUAGAUAGAAAGAGGUUUAGCCACUCAUGGUGGACAAAAAACACAAAAAGAAAGAAGAAAAGUAGAGAGAAAGGGAGCUGCCGAAAUUCUGGAGAAAAUCUGAGAAUAUCUUGCUGGUUUGUUGCUGUCCCUUUUUAUAGGUGAUGAGUCCUAAUCCUUCUCGGAUUUGAAAUCCUAUUUUGACUUGGUCUCUUUGAUGGUCUUUUAAUCAUUCCUUUGUCUUUGUAUUUUAUCAUGAGUAAAACUCCUUUGGUGAAGGAUUUUCUUUGGUGUGGCUCUUGGAGUUGUCAUAGAAUUGGUCUUGUGGUGUUUGAAGUAGAAUAGAACUCUUAUACUUUUAGAAUUUGAAUUUCCUUCUUUUCCCGCGCUGCUGGACUCUGCUGGCGUCAGUUUGAUUUGGGCAGUUAAUUUGGGCAAAUCGCUUGCCCAAAUCAUUUCUGUGAGUUGCUUCCAGGUUUCUGCUUCAGCUUUCUGCAAGUGAUUUGGCCAAAUCAUUUCGGCUAAAUCGUUUUUCCAGCUUUUUUCUGCAAAAUUUCUCCAAGUUUACAUUUUCUUCAUUUUCUGCAAAAAUAUCAUAAAAACAUAAAUUAAACUAGAAAUACAUAUUUAAACAAUAAUAAUGAUAAUAAAAAUGUGGCUAAAUUAUACUUGAUAACAUACAUACUGAAAAUCCUAUUUUCUGGAUCUCGGGAUAUCAAUUGGCAUCGUCUGUGGGGACGAAGGAGAUCUUUCAUCACUGGAGUUCCGUUCUCGUUAUACCCACUGAUAUCCACAUGGAAAACCACAAUGAAAACCAUGUCAAUAACACCCUAAACGACUCGAGCUCUGCUUAAGAAGGUCAACAGUUCUUUAACCCCUUCCAACCAACCACCAGUGCUGUUUAAUCCCUCACCGAGCUUGGCAGGGAAUAUACCCAGAGCCACCCUAUCCAACCAAGAACUUCAAGACAUGGCUCUUCAGCUACAGAAUGCUGCCCACUGGCUGGGGAAGAUACUACAGUAGAGGGGUUUAAUACCCCACUAAACGUACCCCCUGUAGCUGAAGGAAUCAAUGCCAUUGAGCCUCAACCUACCUUUAACUACCAGAUCCCCCAGCAAAGUAGUCGGAGAACUGGAGAAGGGAGUGGAGGAGUAGGUAGAGAAGAGGAGCUGGUAGUCAGAGACCGAGGAAGGAGGGUAAGAGAGCUCAUUGAAAAUGACUAAGCAAAAAGCUAUUAUGAGGGGAUAGCUGGGAGAUCUUCCCUUAAAAUAUGCACAAUGUAAUACUCUGUACUUUGAAAACAUGAAUGAAAUGAGAAAUACUAUUUUUAUCUCCCCAUAUGUCUCGAGCAUUUUUUUAAGACAGGGACUGAAAGCCCUAAGUGAGGUGGGUGACUGGCCUCGAAAAAUGACCGCUAGCACCNNNNNNNNNNNNNNNNNNNNNNNNNNNNNNNNNNNNNNNNNNNNNNNNNNNNNNNNNNNNNNNNNNNNNNNNNNNNNNNNNNNNNNNNNNNNNNNNNNNNNNNNNNNNNNNNNNNNNNNNNNNNNNNNNNNNNNNNNNNNNNNNNNNNNNNNNNNNNNNNNNNNNNNNNNNNNNNNNNNNNNNNNNNNNNNNNNNNNNNNNNNNNNNNNNNNNNNNNNNNNNNNNNNNNNNNNNNNNNNNNNNNNNNNNNNNNNNNGCUCCCGAGCGGACGGGCCCAUAGCUCAAACAAACUCAUAACAUGUACACAAUCAAGCAGAAUAAAGCUAAGUGUGGAAAAAUAGCACGAAGCCGAGCUCCCUACACAAAAGGGCCCAAAGGCCAUAAAGGCAUAAAAACAACCGAGCUUGCAGAUCGGUCGAAUCCCAUGCAGUUCAGACAAGCCCAUAGUUCAAAAUAUUUAAUUUGUAAUCUUUGUGAAAUGUCACACCAAACGAAAGAGGAGCUCAAGGAUAAGGUGUCCAAGCUCGUAUCAUGGUCAGACCUUAAAAAACCAUCUCAUGCAAAAACACUCAUACAAAAGAAUGAUUGUUCUAAGUAUUACGUAUCCGAGAUCACAGCACUAAGGAGGUCGCGAGCAAAUGACAAAAAUGCCCUCAUGAAAAUAGGAAAAACUCAUGAGCCUUCUUAGAGGCCAGGCCCUCAGGAGGGACCCCAGUAGGUAAGGCUCGCUUGCCAGUAUCGUCCCGAAUCACGAUACCACCACUGGCAGCGGCUUGUUUGGGACGAGGUGCAGAAUGGACGACCUCAGCCCCUCCCUUGGAGCCACCCUCCGUAGAUUCUUCAAUCGUAAUGGGCUCUUGGGAGACUGGAGUGAAGGUUGACUUGAGCUUAGGAGCUGCAGGAGAUCUGGAGGAGCUUAGAGUCUUGCCACAGGUGAAAGCUUUAGAGGCCCCUGAACGGCAGCCCUUAGAGACCAGAAUGAGAGCACGAGAUGAAGCCAGGGGAGGGGAAGCAGUCCGAGCAGCUAUAGGAGGAGAGAUGGCAUGAAAGACCUCCUGGAUCACAUUGGCCACAGAUCGACCGGCCCGGAAGGCCUCCAGGGUGGCCUUCACGUUCUCCCUAGAGAUCGUGAAGUUCUUCGGCGGCUUGAUUUCUUUCAUUAAAAAGAGUAAAGGCGAGGAAAGGACGUUUUUGACAGAAGCCGCUCUCAAGCCGUGCGAUCAUAAUGGGGCCUAGGGAUUUACCCCCUCAUCAUUCAUGGAAUAACUGCUGAGGAGGUAAAGGGGCACUUGAUGACCGCCAGGCUUCCUACACCUAGGGGUGAGGCUGGACCCUAAAGAAGAACACAAGCCCAAAGCUCAUCAGGCCAUCCUAAAGCAGACCGACCCACUACCGCAAGUCCUAACCCGGAAACAUGGGGCAGACCGGAUGGCUCAUGGGCGCGGGGCCAACAGGAAAUAACCCAGCCCGACGAUAUGACGUGAGGGAGAAUAGCUAACCCAGUCAUUUCGCAGCCUUAAUAGCACGCGCGCCGGGGGAAUUAAAUGGCCGCCUGACAUGGAGGGGUGCUCUGACGCGUCCGUCCAUACGGAUCUGAGUGAUAGAGACAGGUAGCACUGUAGCAGAGAGACAGUUAGAUGUUACUAGCAGACAAAAAGAAAAGGGAUAAAAGGGAGGGAACGUGAUCUACUUCGGUCAAAUUUACAUACAUACUGAAAAUUCUAUUUUCUGAAUCUCGGGAUAUCAGAUAGUUCGCGGUUUUAUUCUGAUGAAUUCUAUCUAUUAGUUUUUGUUGUUAUUAUGUUGUGACAUAUUUUGAAAAUAAUCUUCCUAACAUUAAGUGUUACACAUUCUUUAAUUUAAUAAGAUGCUCGGUGCGGUUCAGUGUCAUUUCCUUCACGGUUUAUUUAUCCAACUACUGUGGCUAUCUUCACUUUCAGUCUCAAAUGUCAGAUUCACCUUUUUACAAGUUUUUGCUAAUAUAGUUGCAAAACUUUCCUUAUAAAAUCUACUACCCAUAGGAUGGUACAAUUAUAAUUCGUCUACUGUGUAAACUUUUGUAAAACUUUUUUUUUUGCCUUCGUGACUUUGUAAUUCAUUCUCUUUGCAUAUCAAAAAUGGAAAAAGUAUUUAAUUUUUUUAAUUCCUUUUUAAGAAAUUACACAUAAACAUGUAUUUGGUUUUUAACCUUUUAAUUUUGUUAUUAUGAUAUAAAAAAAGGUCUUAAUUAUCUUUUUUGAUGUUAUCAUGUAGGUUAUUAUAUAAAAUAAUCUAUGUUAUUUAAAUUUCAGAUAAUACAAAAACAUAAGAAAAUAUUAUUAGAUGACUGUUAACAAUAAUUUUUAUUUUAUAUUUAAUAUAUUAUAAGAAUUUAAUUCUCAAUAUAUUAAAUAUUGUUAAAAUAUUUAUACGUGUUGGGUCCAAUAGUUGUGAUGUCUACUGUAAUUUAAGUUUAAUAAUGGAAGAUUAUAUCAGUAAGAGAAAUAGUGAUGAAUCCGAAAAAUUAAUUUUUUAUACACCGUAAAACGAAUGAAAUUGGAUACCCGAUCAAAAAUCAUGAAAGAAAAAAAUUUUAACAGUAUCAAAAAUUUUGAAUUUUUUAAUUAGUUUUUAUAUGGAGAAAAAAUGGGAUUAUUUAUUGGAAUAAUGCAAAGAAAAAAGAAUUAUAAAAAAUCCAAGUACAAAUAAAAUAUCAAUAUAACGUGUUGGAGGGAGUGGACAAAAAGAAUAACAAAUAAACGCUAUUUUUUAUGUUAUACUCUUGAAUCUUUCGCAAAAAUUCAUGAAGCAAGAAAAUUGUUUUUUUUUUUUUUCCCUUUUUAAGGAAAAUGUUUCAAGUGGCAUUUUCCUUAAAUGGCAAACUUGCAUUUUUAAAGCUAUUUUAGCUCAUAAAAAUUUUAAAUUCAUCCAUACUUAAAAGUUAUAAGUAUUCAUAAAUAAAUUCUUAUACUUAUAUAAAUCAAUACCUUAUAUUAUUAUCAUUAUUUAUAAUUGGAUAAAAUAUAUAUUAGUCUUAAAGCAUCUUCUCAGCCUAUACCACGAGGUUAAAAGUUUAAUGGUAUACUAAGUGUAUAUUUGGUGUUCAUACAAUAUAAGGGAUUUUUUAAGAAAUGCUAAAAUAGAAUAUAAAAACUCUACAAAAUUUCUAUUUUUAAUCCUUAGUAGAGUCACCGUUGUGGGUGGCACAAGCUUUUGAUGCGCUCCAAUUGGUUAGUCUUCUUUUUUCAUAACAUUAUCACAGAAUUCAGAUUUUUUAUUUAUUUGACGAAAAAUAGAAAAAAAAGUAAAAUUUGUUACUUUGAUGAGGAUAGAGAGAAAGAGAAAAGGAGGCAGCACCUAUGAAAGAAAAUGGCUGCCUAGGUUCUUGUUUUUUUAGGGAAGAGGUUGAGAGAAUUUUAAGAGUAUUUGGAUAGAGGGUCAGCCUAAAUUGAGAGUGUGGCUUCUUAGUUGCUAGGAUUUAGAGAAUAUGAUACUUAAAUAGGAUGGAAGAAAAUUCCAUUCAAACAAGAAAGAAAAUUUUCUUCUUCUUACCUUAGGUGGCCGACUAAAAUGUUGAUUUUGGAUUGAUUUUGAUUCAACUAUAUUUUAAUUAUUUUCUAUAAUAUCUUCCAUAAUUAUAAAAAUUAAAAUUGGGACCCUAUGCUACUUGGUUUGGCCGAAUGGGUUAAGGCACAAGGCCCAUUUAGAAAUCCCAGCAAAGUUACCAAUUGCAAGCAACACAGUUUUUUAUUCACUCCAACUGGUUAAGGUAUUAUCUUCCCAUACCACUGCCAUGAGACUUAGACUUUUUAUUCACUCAGUGAAGAGGAGAAAAGUAGGAGUCACUACCUUGCUGAGAAUAGGGAUAAAAGGAAGGAUGUGGUUUGAGCAACUUAUCUUUAGCAGAGGUAGUAUCCUAUAUAUCCUAUAAUCCAAUGGUCUAAGUUUGAGAUAAUCAGUACAAAAUAGGGAAGGUGUUAGGCACCACUCUCACCUGGAGUUUACUGCUUAGACCAAGUACCAACUCUAUACACGCAUUUCUUAUAUUAUGUCUUAGUGUAUUUAGUAGAAAUCCUUUUAGGCAAAUGCAUUCUAAUUUAAAUAUAUGCGUACUUCAUCAAACAAACACCCAAUUCAUGCGAAUCUAAUAAGUCUAAGCAUUUGAGGUUUCUACUUGACUCUAAACGAGAUGUUUACCAAGUUGCCCUAAUUACAUGUUUCUAAGUUAAACAUGUACAAUUUCUAAGUUAAAUUCGACAAAUAGUCCAAAAAAAUUAAUAAGUUUCUAUCAUUUAUUUGGAAAUAUCUUUUUGAGUUAACUUGCUCUAAAGAUAUUACAACUUUGUUAUUUUCAUACCAAAGUGAGAAACAAUUGCUAAUCAUGUGAUCCAUGCCUCUAUUAAUGCCAUAUUCUUUUUAAACAUUACCGAGUGAUUUACCUAACCUACUAAAUCUAUAUUCCAUGCAUUUUUAAUGCAAAGAAAGCAAGUAAGGCAUUUAAAGAAUGGGAGUAGGAGAAAGGAGUUACAAUCCUAAAAUCCUAAAAUAAAUAAAAGGGAGGGGAGAAGAGAAUUAAUUACAAAGCCUUGAAACAAUUUAAAUAACUAAAAGAAAUUAAAAUUCCUAUUAUAAGGCCCAUUAGGCCAAAUACCCUUGCAAAAAGCCUUUAAAAUUGAGUUUUUGGGCCUCCAAGGGAAUUAGACAUCUUCAUAGGCUCCUAAGUUAUGCCCAUUGACUCUCCAAAAGGAACACAUCUCCAUGCAAAUGAGCUUAAUGCUUUGGCCAAGGUGGUGCAAUUCGGUUAACUUGGAGAAUUUCCCUCUUUUGAUGCAAACUCAUUUAAAUAAAUUAUCAAAAUAAUAAAAUAAAAAGAUAAAUAAAUAAUAAAAAUAAUUAAAUAACCAGCAUCAAAGAAAAAUAAAAAGGAAAAGUAAACAAAUUAUGAAUCCUAAUUAAGAAAGGGAAGUGAUGUUACAUAAUAAUCGUCCAAGAUAAGCCAUGAGCUGUCACCACUCAACAGGUCCACGUGGUAAGGAUUUGAAAAAUGGGUAAUAUGGUCCCAACUGAGAAAAGGAAGACCCAGACACCGUAAUAUCCAGUUCAUCAUCAACACUCUCUCUCCCCUGGAUAGGACGAGUCUCAACACAAAGUUACUGUUAUCACGCACAGUCCAGCAUAUGCCCAUUACACUUGUAAUCGUGGGUUUACCGACUAAUUAACUAACGAUAUCCCUUAUCAAGCAGUGAGCCACAUCAUCACCGGAUUAUCUAAAAAUACUAUAUUUAUCUUCAUAUUCUUAUAGUAUAAAAGGAGAGUAGUUACAGAGACAAAAGUACACUAUUCUCUAAACAAAAAUCUCUCAAGUUCUAUAUUCAUCUUAUUCUCCAGAUUACUGACUUGAGCGUCAAAGUGGUUGUUGUGGACACCCACCACCUCACUUUCUCUGUCUAGCAGGAUUAGCCAAUCAUAACAUAACUUCAUUCUGGCCAUGUAUGCUUUUUAGUCUCUGCAACAUCAGAAAGUAAUCUCUCUACCACAAGAAAAUUGAUUUUGGCCAUUAAAAACAAAGAAGGGAACUCUAGCUGCCCCUAGAUAUUAUUCUAAUACAAAAACACAUGUUAAUAUGUCAAAAUAAAGAUCAAAACACAAAUAAAUAUGAAAAAGAAACAAAAGAACUAAAAAAAACAAAAAAACCUACUACACAUGAUAUGCUUGAUUGGACAAAUCCUAAUAUUAAAAAAGAAAGGCCAAUUAGCUGAAUAGGCCCAAUUUUUACGCCAUUUUGUAUUUUAAUCCAAAUAUUUAAAUUAUAAAUAUUGGCUUAACGAUUAUAUUUGGGUAUAAUUUUGGCCAAUUUUUAAAAUUAAAAUUAAAUAUAAGCAAUUCAAUUAUUCAAUAUAUAGUCUACAUCUUCAACAAUAACAUAUUUUAUUUUAUAGUAAUAAUUAUAAAUAUUUAUAGCAAAAAUGUUAUUUAAUCUAUAAUAACAGAAUAUAAAAUAAUUAAGAAUAAUAUGUCUAUUAUAAAAUCUUUAUAAUUAUUUUUGCAAAAGAAAAUCCAGCUAUUGUUGAAAUUAUGAACUGCAUAUUUAACAAUUAGAUUACUAUUGUCUUUAAAAUUAAAUAUAUCAAUUAAAUAUAGUUAAGUAUGAAUUAAUAUUAUUUUCAUAUAUGGAAUUAAUUUAUAUUUAAAAAAUAAUAAAUUAUUAAAUUUAAUGAAGCUAUCUAAACUCUCACAUUUUAAUUUUUGAAAAUGGCCAAAAUUACAUCUAAAUACAAUCGUUGAACCAAAUUCAUUUAAAAUUUAAAUAUUUAGAUUAAAAUACAAAAUGACAUAAACAUUGACUUUUUUUAGUCAAUUGGCCAACAAUAAAAUAAUAGCAAAAUAAUUAAAAAAUUAUCUGAUUUUCAGACAUGAACUAGAAAAAGUAGAAAUAAAUAAUAGAUUACCAAUGCAAAGUAAUUGUUCUAGAAAAUAAAAGAUUUUGGACACUGAUUUUAUACUCGAUAUGCUAUGUAUAUAGAUAUGUGAACAUAAAAAACUCAAAAGAGAAAACUUUUAGAGCAUUUCUCAAAUUUAAUUUUAGGCUCAAGAGUCAUUUGAUUUGAUAAUAAGAUCAUAUUAUAGAUCCUCAAAAUAGUGUUACUCGUUGGAAACGUCCAAAAUAACACUGAUUGCCUCUUAAAAUUUGAAAAACUAUAAAUCAAUGUAGAAAAAUUGAGAUUACUAUAAAAAAACAUAUGAAAAUUUUAGAGAAUUUCAUGAAGAACGAAAUAAAAAUAUUAUAACGAUCUGAAAACCGGACUGCUAUCGGUGCUAGAGUUCAGAUCAACUUAAGGUUACCGGAACCCAAGCAAGCCUAUCAUACAUCCUGUUAUACAUGAUAUAAUCCAAGCAUGAUCUUAAAAACAUACAAAAAUAUUUUCAUCUCAUGAACCAAAACUUGACAUGUGCAUACAAACAUAACUGAAAACAUAAACCCAUAAUACAGUCCUCAUCAAAUACUCCAAUAUGGUCAUCAUUACAUAUCUCAGGUUGGUCCAAACAAAGCUUAAACUUUAAAAAUUUGACAUAGUAGGAUCAUGAACAAAGGGAUUAUAAAAGAAAACUAGGGUAAAGCAUAAUUCUAAACCACAAUUUAUUUCAUGUCCAUAACUAUAACUAUUACAUUAGAACUAUACCAUAAAACACUGUUGACCCCCGAGCUAACUUUGAUUCUAUAAACCUAGAGUUAGGAGAAAGGGAUAAGCUACUAGAGCCUAGCGAAUAAAAACAUAAUCAUAAAACAGUUUAAUAAGAUACAUGAUCGUAUGAAUUCGUUACAACACAAAUAAUUCACAUCACGAUAGACUUGUCACUAAUAACCCUCCACAAUUUCAAUAGUGCCCGGCUCACAAUGGGUGCUCCUCAGAAUUUCCUAUUAAACAUAAUAUAACAUAUCCAUAGUGCCAGGAGUAUAGAAUAGAUACCAUGGUCUUUCCCUUAUAUACUGUCAGGGGCGUAGAAUGGACAACACUAGUCUUUUUAUAUCCGUCAUAACAUAUUAUAACAUGCUUGAGGGCUAGUGGGUUAUCCAAUAUCCAUCCACAAUAACAAUUACUUAUAUAAUGCAUCGUAUUCGUGAACUCUAAUGCAGAAUAACCUAAUUAUAUACACAUGGCAUUCGUGAUGCAUGAGUAUAUUUAAAACGUUUAAUUUAUUUAAAAUAAUAAUUUAGUUUAGUUCUACUCACCUCUGGUUGACGCAAGCCUAGCUCUGAAGCAGUUAUCUCACUGCCAGUUUUUACAGUCUUCCAAGUCUGAUCCUAUAUAGAUGGAAUUAAAUAAGGGACCACACAUAAGUUUUACAACACUUGACACUAACUCAAAAAACCCCUAAGAACAUAUAAGAAAACAUGUGGAAAAUGGUCUGAAUAUGGCUAGACAUGAGACUUUUGGCGGUAGGUUCAGCGGCCUAAAGUCCCCUUAUAGAUUCAAAGGUCAGAAUUUCGGAAGCAGGUUAGGCGGCCAAAAGGCAGCCUUUACAAGUAGGUUCGGCAGCCGAAUCUAGCUUUGAUGGUCGAACUUGGGUUCUUCUGUAAUGUAGAACCUAAUUCUGUCUCAACCAACAGCCACCAAAAUGCGACUAAACCCACGUGCAACAGUUCAAAAGCAUAAAUAUACAACUCAACACACUAAGAACUACUUAAAACUAACCUAAACUUAACAUGCAUUUAACAAAACCAUCAAAUCAAGGAAACUCAUCCCACCCUCAAGCUUUUUCUUUAAACUCAAUUCUUAAUCUUUACAUGCAAUGAAAACGUUUAAAACAAUUUAUAAAUUUCUCAAAACUGAAAGAAAAAUAAGUUUUCAACUCACCUUUUCGGAGAAGGCACAAUACAUCAAGAAGGAAGUUAUGAAGGAGAAAGAGAUGAGCUCCGAAGGGUCUAAUGGCCAAAAACCUAAAAAAUUCAACUUAAUUCUUUAAAAUAAAGGCAAAACUCAUGAAUUUCUAAAAUAUUUAUAGAAAACUCAAAGCUAAAAUCUACACAAUCGUAAUGUUUUUUUAAUAGAAGAACCAAAUAGUUAGAUUUUAUAAAAACAUUGAGAGAUUUUAAUUAAGUUGGUUUUAAAAUAUGGAUUAACUAGUGAUUUUUUAAAAGUCUAUUGAAUAAAAAAAUCUAAAUAUUUUUAUAUCUGAAAUUUUAAAUUUUGAAUAAUAAAAUUAAAAUUUUUCAAUGUGACACAAUUAUAAUUAAAUCUAAAUUAAAUUUAAAAAAUUUAACAGUAAAUUACAAUAUAAUCUCUAAAGUUUUAAAUUCAUUAAAUAUAUAAUUCUUUAAUUUAAAUUUUAUAUUAAAAGUAAAUUUAUUUUAUAUUUAUUAUAUAUAAUAUUAAAUAUAUUAUAUUGAAUAAAUAUUUAUUACAAAUAAAUUUUGAUUAUGUAAAAUAUCACAUAUAAAUAUUAUAUAUUAAAUUAUUUUAUUAAAUCUUUAUUUUUUAACAUUAUAAAUUAUGUGCAUAUAUAGAAAAUUUCACUUUGUAUCAACAAUAUUAAAUAAAAUAUAUGAAAUAUUAUAUAUUUUAGUUUAUAAUUUUUUUAUAUUUUAAAUUUUAUUAGUUAUAUAUAUAUAUAUAUAUGUUUGAAAUAAAAUUAUGCUACGAUUGACUAAUAUGCGAAAAGGAAAGUGAGGUGAUUCGCGUUUAGAAUAGUCACUCUAAUACUCAAGUUAGUAACUUAAAGAAAAGGGUGAAUAUAAUAAAUUAUUUUGAACUUAAGAGUAGUUAUGUAAGAAUGCGUAUAUUUAUCUCAGUAUUCAUGAGUUUUUAUACUGUAGGAAGAUAGAGUCGGUUACUAAAUCUCCUAGAAAUAUGACUAGCACCGGCUAAUGGAUAGGAGAUUCUGCAUUUAUAGGCAUAAUUAGGGGUGAGCAUUCGGUCGGUUCGGUUCAAAACCAAACCGAAUAAAUCGAAAAGUAAAAUUUUAGUAUUUAUGAAAAUUGAAUCGAAUCGAUUUUGAUCAGAAAUCAAAUCGAACCGAACCAGUAUGAUUCGGUUCAAUUUCAUUGGUUUGAAUUUUUAAUAUAUUUUUUAUUUUUUACACUUUAUUUUUAAUAUUUUAAAAUUUAAUUGAAAUAUUUUAACCUUAAUAUAAUCUAAUCUCUUUUAUAUUAUUGAAAAUAAUAUAUUAUUAUCACUAAUCGGUUCGGUUCGAUUUUUUUAAUUUUUUCUGAUCAAAACCAAACCAAAUCAAAAUAAUCGAAAUUUUUAAAAUAAAAAUCAAAUCGAACCGAAAUGAAUAAAAAACCGAAUCAAAAUUUUCAAAUUAAUUCAGUUUGGUCGAUUUUUUCGAUUUGAACCGAAUACUGCUCACCCCUAGGUAUAAAGGGAAUCUACUAGAUUAUAUCUGCUAAUGAUAACUUUCUACCAAGACUCGCUCUAUUUAAGAGAAGGCGGAUUUUGAUAAUAUAUUAAAUAUCAGAGUAUACUGGUCUUAUUUUCUGUGGAUGUGAGAUAUGUGACUGUUUGCGAGCUUACUUCAAAAAAAAAAAAGAUAAAAGGAGACGGGUUGAAAUUAGAAGAUAAGUAUUUUGAUUAAUCAACACAUUAAACUUACAUUCUUUAGUACAAGCAAAUAUUAAUAAUUGGUCCUUAAAGCCUAAAGACAUUAUCCCGAAUAUACAAAAGGAGCUCUUUCAGCCCUAGAGCUAUGCAAAUUCUGGAUGUCAUCCUUGAUCUAAAAGGCACUAGAGAUGAAUGUUGUAAUAGACUCUGAGAGUUGGUCUCUCUUCUUUCAAAUUAAAAAAAAAAUAGUAAUCAAAGUAUUACAUCAGACUUAUAUUUAUAGGAGAAUUACUACUAAAUUUUUAAAUUUUAAAAUAAUUCAUUACUUUAUUGCCAUUUAAAAUCACUCGAUUAAAAUAUUUUCGUAUAAUUUUAUAAAAUUUUAUUCGCUCUAUUUUAUAAUUUUUAUCUAUUUUUUUAUUAUUUUAAAAUUAUUAUUUAUUUUUUUAUCAUAAUAACAUAUAAAUUGAGUAUUAUAACUCUAUUUAAUUUUAUUUCAUUUCUAAAAGAACUUCUUAAAAUAUAUCUUAAUUUUUAAUAAAAUUUAAUAUACAUAUAAAAAAAUAAAAUAUACAAAAAUUAUGAAAUAAAUGAAAUAUUAUUUAGUGCAUUUAUAAAAGAAAAUCAUUAAUUAACUCGUUUAAACUUUGAUUAAAAAUAUUAAAUGGCAUCGUAUGUACUAAACAUUAUAAAUAUUCAAGGUGAAUGAUUAAAUAAUUAAAUUUUAUAAAAUAUAAAAAUAUUUUAAUUGAAUGAUUUUAAAAUAAGAAUUAAUUAAAAAAAUUUUAAAAAUUGAAAAAUUUGAUAUUAAUUUCACCCAAUAUUUUCGUUUUUAGCUCAUGGUGAAUUAAGUCUAGUAUACUCUUAAAGAAAAAUGAUAGUAGGAGAUGGGCUGUAAUUAGAAGAAAAGUAUUGAUUAAUCAAUACAAUUAAACAUACAUCCUUUAGUACAGACACACAUUAAUAACAGGUCCUUAAAUGUGGACAUCCUUUACUAGAUAGCGAUGGAGAAAUUAGGACAUUCCAAAGUUAUUCUUUCUUGACUAAAAUUUACUAGAACCUUGCAUCAAACAGUACACUAUCAUCAUCCAGGUGCUGCUUGAUCAGUUUCUCAUAAAAUUAAUGGGAAACUUCUGCAAAUUAUCAAAAUCAAAGCCAACAUAUAGCAGAAACCUCACGAGAGACCCUAUGAGUAUCUUAGGCAGAACAUUUGAACCCCGGCGGUGGAGUUUUCCCACAAUCAACGAGGACCUCAAGUGCAAUGGGUAUGAUGAUAUUGAUGUUGAGAAGCUUAGCUUUAAUGGUGGUGCAAAGACACAAAGCAGCAUCCAAGUCCACAAGCCCUUGAAGCACUGGACAGCAAGCGUCCUUAGCACUACUGCCGACACCAAUGUGUACUAGACCACCUAGGACGUCGACACAUGCUCCUAGCUUGAGAGUGUCAAUGGGGCAAGUCUCUUGCUUUGGCGGUGGUGGUGGGCAUGGCACUGGAGGUGGUGGAGGAGGAGGGCAUGGCGUUUCAGUUGGUGGUGAUGGUGGUUUUACAGGUGGGGUCACUGGAGGCUUUGGUGGUGCUGGGGUUACAGGUGGACUUGGAUAGUAGGGUGGCGUUGGAGUUACCGGAGGCUUUGGUGGUAAAGUUGGUGGUGUUGGGACCACCGGAGGUUUAGGUGGUAAAGUUGGUGGCGUCGGGACCACCGGAGGCUUUGGUGGCAAAGUUGGUGGUGUUGGGGUCACCGGAGGCUUUGGUGGUAAAGUUGGUGGUGAUGGGGUCACCGGAGGCUUUGGUGGUAAAGUUGGUGGUUUCGGUGGGUAAACGAUAGGCGGUUUUGGAUAAUAUGGUGGCGGUUUUGGUGGUAAAGUUGGUGGUUUCGGUGGGUAAACGAUAGGCGGUUUUGGAUAAUAUGGUGGCUUUACAACAGGAGGUUUGGGUACCAAAGGUGGCGGCUUUACUACAGGAGGUUUUGGCACAUAGGGUGGGUGAACAAUUGGAGGCUUGGGUGUGAUAGGUGGUUUAGGCACAUGUGGCGGUUUGGGCGUGGUUGGUGGUUUCACAAUGGGUGGCUUGGGUACGUGCGGUGGUUUGUGGACAGGAGGCUUGGGUAUAUAGGGUGGUUUGUGAACAGGAGGCUUGGGUGGUUUUGGUGGUUUAUGGUGAGGAGGUGGCUUUACCUUUGGGGGAUGUUUGGGUGGAAAUUUGGGAGGAUAUUUGGGUGGCUUAGGUGGUGGAGUUGGGUAAGGACAGUAAGGGCAAGCAAGAGAAGAAAGCAAAGUACCAAUGUGGAGGAGGAUGAUCAAGAGAUUUCCGAAAGCAUAUUUCGCCAUCUUUACUCUUCUAUCUCAGUACUGAAUGAAGCUCAUAGCCUUAUUAUAUAGUGAGAAAUUAAUAUGAAAAAAUAUAUUUUAAUUAAAAAAUAAAUAAAAACUAUAUAAGAAUUGUAUAAUUUAUUUCAAACAGUAGAUAAAUGAAGAUGUUAACAUCCCUCAUCUGAUUAUAAGCUGAGUUGGCUUCAGCUUUAAAUCUAUGUAAUUAUAGAAUACAACCUGAAGAUAUCUUCUUCUACUCAUAAAUUUGGGAUACAU